UACGUAGGUGGCGAGCGUUUGUCCGGAUUUACUGGGCGUAAAGAGCGCGCAGGCGGUCGUACAAGUCGCGUGUGAAAGCCCCCCGGCUCAACUGGGGAGGGUCACGCGAUACUGUUCGACUCGAAGGCAGGAGAGGGUAGUGGAAUUCCCGGUGUAGUGGUGAUAUGCGUAGAUAUCGGGAGGAACACCUGUGGCGAAGGCGGCUUUCUGGGCCUUACCUGACGCUGAGACGCGAAAGCGUGGGGAGCGAACCGG
rnacentral:rRNA from 1 species